GCUGGGCGUGGUGGUGCACGCCUGUAAUCCCAGCUACUUGGGAAGCUGAGGCAGAAGAAUCGCUUGAACCUGGGAAGUGGAGGUUGCAGUGAGCCGAGAUUGCACCACUGCACUCCAGCCUGGGUGACAGAGUGAGAUUCUGUCUCAA
ensembl:misc_RNA Metazoa_SRP Metazoan signal recognition particle RNA